GACGAACGCUGGCGGCGUGCUUAACACAUGCAAGUCUACGAGAAAAGAGUAGCAAUACUCUGAUUAAAGUGGCGCACGGGUGAGUAACACGUAAGCAAUCUACCUUUAGGUAUGGAAUAAUUUCGCGAAAGCGGGACUAAUACCAUAUAAUGCAGCGGCAUCGCAUGAUGAUGUUGUUAAAGCUCUUGUAGCGCCUAUAGAUGAGCUUGCGUCUGAUUAGCUAGUUGGUGAGGUAACGGCCCACCAAGGCAACGAUCAGUAGCUGGUCUGAGAGGAUGAUCAGCCACACUGGAACUGAGACACGGUCCAGACUCCUACGGGAGGCUG
rnacentral:rRNA from 1 species